ensembl:lncRNA
GUGUGCGCCCAGCUACUCAAACUGCAACAAAGAAACCACCGCGGUAGUCAUUCCGCUACGUUCUUUAGACUUGUGUGUCAUUUUUUUUAAAUAGACAUGUUUUAACACUGUACCGAUGACAUUGUCGCCAUUGGAACCGAAACCACGUUUUUUUUUGCCAAGACGAACUGACUUUAAAGAGCGUGUAGGAGGGUUAUCGCUCAUCGCAAGUUGAGGUCCCCGACGGAGACCCUUAAGACCCCAGGGUGCACCCUUGACCCUCGACCCCGGGGCUGGACCCACGCUGAGGGGCGAAGAGAUGUUACCAUGUCCACACUGAGCCACCCCAGGUGAGUCCAUUUUACCGCUCUAAAGUGAAUUAUAAAGACACCACUCUUAAAGACUCUUUUUGGGCUCCAGGUCAAUUUAAACCACGUCAUUGAAAUGUAUUGAAUUUAAUUAAUUUCAGGCGAACAUUCAAUACAUUUGGUCCACGCCCAGCGUCUGUGGCUCCGUCUGUUCUGUCUCUCUCCCUGCCUGCCCCUUGUGUGUUGCUCAGUUGUCUUCCUAAUUAUACCCCUAUCCGUGUCUUGGGCCCACCUCGUGUUUCCUCGUGCUGUGACCUGAGCUGCGCCGCCGUGAAAUACCGUCCAGGUGACGCAACGCUGGUCCUCAACUACAACCAGCGUCCUCAACGGGGCUCAUGCAACAUUCACACUGUCCUAUCAAACACACACGUGCGCACACACACACGCACGCACGCACACACACGUUAGUCGGAACUGUCAUUUUAACGCUGGUUAAAUCAAGAUUUCAAGGCGUUACGUCUUACAGUGUCUGUGGAUCAGGGCAGUGACAUUUCAGUUGCUCCCGUAAGGACUAAACCUAAUCCUCGGCUUUUGUGGCAAUAAAAAGUUUGACAUAUUAAAACCUGAACCAGAUAAACUAUUGGCUAUCAGCAAAACUGAGUGCGGUACUUGAAAUGUCACAGCUUUUACAAAACAGAUAAGCCAUGGUGGAUCAGACCCAACUGUCUCAAUACAAUCUCUUAGAUUCUGUUAAAUCUAUAGAAAGUUUCCACAUCAAGCUGGUACCUAAAUUCCGGAAACAGGAAUUAGGUAAAGUACUGAGCUCUUACUGAGCUGAUAUUGAGCUGAAUGUAUGUAGUCUCAAUGUAUGUAUUCUCCCAGAAUGCUCUGGGAUUGUUUAUAUAGCUAGAUAUAUCUGUUUGGCCUAUUGGUGACCAUUAACAAGGAAUUUAAAUAAAAAAGAUUGGACAUUGAGUUCUGCGAGUACAUGCCCUAAUCUGUAUGCCGUCAGAGGUUGACAUUCAACAUUUAUAAGAAGGAAAACUUCCAGCUGAUGAGAUGUAGUACUGCCUCCCCCACUGUGUGAAUUGUUAAAACGUUGAAGCAUGACUAGAAUAGGGGGAAGGGUCAAAACAACUGACAGGUCUCAAACCAAAUAACCCUGUGUCGGCAUAGCCUACCCUGGUCCCCAAAGCUCUAGUUGGGGGUUGGGGUAGGGACCACCAGUGCAGACCCACCCAGCGAUGGGAUUUGUCCCCUGGAUGCUGCUCAGAGUCUAUACGUCUAGCAGGAGAGGUGCACGUUAACGAUACGCUUGACAUUAUUUUCUGCAGCGCUCCCAAAGGUAUUGAUGGUCUGAUUGAAUUCUAUAAAAAGUGUGUUCUGCCAGAUGCCCCUCUGGCCCGUCGACUGUAAUAGUGUGACAUUUAGACGAUUUAAGAAUCAUAAACGACGCUUUGUUGUCCUGACAGUCGGCAAUCCGUCUUUCUGUGUGUGUGUGUGUGUGUGUGUGUGUGUGUGUGUGUUUGUGUGU